AACGAACGCUGGCGGCAUGCCUAAUACAUGCAAGUCGAACGAUCACUUCGGUGGUAGUGGCGCACGGGUGCGUAACGCGUGGGAAUCUGCCCUUGGGUUCGGAAUAACGUCGGGAAACUGACGCUAAUACCGGAUGAUGACGUAAGUCCAAAGAUUUAUCGCCCAGGGAUGAGCCCGCGUAGGAUUAGCUAGUUGGUGGGGUAAAGGCCUACCAAGGCGACGAUCCUUAGCUGGUCUGAGAGGAUGAUCAGACACACUGGGACUGAGACACGGCCCAGACUCCUACGGGAGGCAGCAGUAGGGAAUAUUUGACAAUGGGGGCAACCCUGAUCCAGCAAUGCCGCGUGAGUGAUGAAGGCCUUAGGGUUGUAAAGCUCUUUUACCCGGGAUGAUAAUGACAGUACCGGGAGAAUAAGCCCCGGCUAACUCCGUGCCAGCCGCCGCGGUAA
rnacentral:rRNA from 1 species